AUAUCAGUCAUGCAUAGCAUAUCAAUAAGCGGAGGAAAAGAAACUAACAAGGAUUCCCCUAGUAACGGCGAGUGAAGCGGGAAGAGCUCAAAUUUGAAAUCUUAAAGGUUUCCCUUGACGAAUUGUAGUUUAUAGAAGUGUUUUCUGUAGUGGAGUUUGGUAAAAGUUCUUUGGAAUAGGACAUCAUAGAGGGUGAGAAUCCCGUAUUUGACCAUUUACUUUCCAGCUGUGUGAUACACUUUCAAAGAGUCGGAUUGUUUGGGAAUGCAGUCCAAAAUGGGUGGUAAAUUUCAUCUAAAGCUAAAUACUGGCGAGAGACCGAUAGCGAACAAGUAUCCGUGAGGGAAAGAUGAAAAGAACUUUGAAAAGAGAGUUAAACAGUACGUGAAAUUGUCAAAAGGGAAGCGUUUGACACCAGUGUUGUUUUUCCGAAAAUCAAUUACGAAUGUUUUAUUUUUGAGAAGUUAUGACUUCAUCGGCUUGCUCCUUUCUUUAUGAAACUUUCUUAAUGCACUUUUCGGUUAACAAGUCAACAUCAAUUUCUUUUGUUGUAAAAGGGUAUGAGGAAGGUGGCUUUCUUUUCGGAGAAAGUGUUUAUAGCCUUUGUACCUCUGCAAUCGGAGAGAUUGAGGUCUGCAGCGUAGAUCCUUCGGGGUUAGAUACAUUUGUGCUAAGCUAUAGCCUUUCAUAGACAACCUGUUGACUAUGAUCAGUCAUGUAGCUUACUCGCUUAUGUCUAUUUUACCUACGCUUAGGAUGUUGAUCUCUCACAGUCGAGC
rnacentral:rRNA from 1 species